AUGGUGCCGUCGAAGAGGUUCUCUGCCGCGGAGAAGGGGAAGGCCCCUCGCGAGGGGCCUGGCUCCCCGGCGCCCAAGCGUGGACGCGGCCGUCCCCGCAAGCACACCGCGACCCCCGCCGUGGCCCCUCGCUCCCGGGGUGGCGCCGCUGCGCAUGGCAGGGGUCGUUCCGGUCGUGGCAGCCCUGUCGAUGAGAGGAGACGUGCCAUGGUUGCACGGCCUCCCCGGCCGCGCUUCCACUCGGCGGAGGUGCUGCCGGAGUUCGUCGUCUGGUCAGAGGACCCGGCCGGCAACUGGCUUCAGCUCCCGCGCUUCUUCGCCGAUGAGCUGCCAGCCUCCGGUCCAGGUGGGCUCUGGUUGCAGGCGGACGGUUGCUGUAGCAGGGCUUCUUGGGUUGCGGUCGAGGUCUCCGUCGCGGGCAACAUAGCUCUGGCCUGUGGUUGGCAGACGUUCGCCCGCGCGCGCGGCCUGGGCAGGCGGUGCACCCUCCAUUUCAAGUACGACGGUGAUGCGACCCUCUACGUGAGGGUGUUUGGGGAAGAUGGUCGCCGCGCCGGGUGCUGCCCGGAGGUGAACGGCGGCGUGGAGGUGCUCGGUCUUGGCGAUGGUCGGGACGAGGAGGAGGGCGAACCCGCCCUUGGUGCCGACCACGUCUCGUCCAGCUACGGUGGCUCUUCCCCUGGUGACAGCUCCAGCAGUGGUGGCUACGACCAGCCGCCACGCCGCCGCGCCCGCUUCAAAGGUGGCAGCGGGUCGUCUUGUCGCCGCGCCUUCGUGAAGCGCGAGGCGGGGUCCGGCUGA
rnacentral:rRNA from 1 species